rnacentral:tRNA from 1 species
GGCAGUGUGGCCUAAUGGGCACCAGUCUGGAACUCUGCUGACCCGAGGUCCAUUCCUGGUGCUGCCG